AGUAAUCCGCUUUGAGAUGGACCCGCGGCGCAUUAGCUAGUUGGUGAGGUAAAGGCUCACCAAGGCGACGAUGCGUAGCCGACCUGAGAGGGUGAUCGGCCACAUUGGAACUGAGACACGGUCCAGACUCCUACGGGAGGCAGCAGUGGGGAAUAUUGCACAAUGGGCGAAAGCCUGAUGCAGCAACGCCGCGUGAGUGAUGAAGGCCUUCGGGUUGUAAAGCUCUGUCUUUAGGGACGAUAAUGACGGUACCAAAGGAGGAAGCCACGGCUAACUACGUGCCAGCAGCCGCGGUAAUACGUAGGUGGCAAGCGUUGUCCGGAUUUACUGGGCGUAAAGGAUGCGUAGGCGGAUAUUUAAGUGAGAUGUGAAAUACCCGAGCUUAACUUGGGUGCUGCAUUUCAAACUGGAUAUCUAGAGUGCGGGAGAGGAGAAUGGAAUUCCUAGUGUAGCGGUGAAAUGCGUAGAGAUUAGGAAGAACACCAGUGGCGAAGGCGAUUCUCUGGACCGUAACUGACGCUGAGGCAUGAAAGCGUGGGUAGCAAACAGGAUUAGAUACCCUGGUAGUCCACGCCGUAAACGAUGAGUACUAGGUGUAGGAGGUAUCGACUCCUUCUGUGCCGCAGUUAACACAAUAAGUACUCCGCCUGGGAAGUACGAUCGCAAGAUUAAAACUCAAAGGAAUUGACGGGGGCCCGCACAAGCAGCGGAGCAUGUGGUUUAAUUCGAAGCAACGCGAAGAACCUUACCUGGACUUGACAUCCCCUGAAUAGUGCAGAGAUGCAUGAAGCCCUUCGGGGCAGGGAGACAGGUGGUGCAUGGUUGUCGUCAGCUCGUGUCGUGAGAUGUUAGGUUAAGUCCUGCAACGAGCGCAACCCUUAUCAUUAGUUGCUACCAUUAAGUUGAGAACUCUAGUGAGACUGCCCGGGUUAACCGGGAGGAAGGUGGGGAUGACGUCAAAUCAUCAUGCCCCUUAUGUCCAGGGCUACACACGUGCUACAAUGGUCGGUACAGAGAGAUGCAAGACCGCGAGGUGGAGCUAAACUCAAAAACCCAUCCCAGUUCGGAUUGUAGGCUGCAACUCGCCUACAUGAAGCCGGAGUUGCUAGUAAUCGCGAAUCAGAAUGUCGCGGUGAAUACGUUCCCGGGCCUUGUACACACCGCCCGUCACACCAUGAGAGCUGGCA
rnacentral:rRNA from 1 species